rnacentral:rRNA from 1 species
AGCCACAGCCAUAUCACCCUGCAGCCCAAGACUGGUUGCCCACUGAAGCUAAGCAGGGUUGUACCUGGAUGGGAGACAUCCUGGGAAAGCUAGGUUGCUGUUGGAA